UUUCUCCUCCUUCUGAGUGCACUUAGCAUCCUUCGAACAACCACCAUUCCAGUACUUGCACAUGUUGGCCGCUGCAGAAAAGAGAAGAGUGGUUAUGAAGUGCAAACCAGAAAGGUGAUACCAUCUCCUUCAUAGAAGGGUUUACAGACGCAGGUAUUGUUCUCCAUACAGACAGCUUUCUCAUGGCAAGCGGGACUGCAAACAGGACCAUCAGCUGAAACAACAGAAUCAGAGUACUUACAGAGAGUACCUGGAUGUUGUUGCUUUGAAAAGCUCACCUAUGCAGUCUGGUCCAAAAUGUGCGUCCACACACAGCUCGCAUGCUACACCUGUAAAUCCAGCAUCACAGGUGCAGGUGCCAUUUCCUAAAUGAUCCUCAUCACACUUGCCAUGGUUACUGCAGGGGGAGCCUGGACCUCCAGGACAUGCUGGAGAACAGGCCACUGACAGAUCUGAGCCCUGUUGAGUUCUUAAAGAGCUGCCGCGCAUGAGUUCAGACGGCAGAAUCUAGAAGACGCACAGUCACAGCGAUGUGGAAGAAUGGGCUCUAUGGAUGCCGGAAUCAGGACGCCCUCUACUGAAUGGAGAUGACCGUUCGCUGCCUCAACAUCCAGUUCCAGCAUCACCUCGCCGUUGACCAGCAUUUGCCCCUUUGUGGAGCGAAUGUCCACGGGUGUGCUUUUUUCUUACCAAACUGCACUUUCAGAACAUUAACAAAAUCACUUUCAGCCCAUUAACAAUGGCGGAACAAAACCCGAACUGCGGUACAGCAGAUUUAUUUGACAAAUUAUCUCAUUUCGCUUAUGAUGUAACUAUUAAACACAUACUACAGCGAAUGAGAGGAAAGAAAAGAGUUAAGAAAAGCAUCGAGGGAGUCGAAAAGUUGGCAGACGUCUGAGCUGUUGGAUGAACGGAUGCAUCCACAUGGACUGCUCGUCUCCGUCCAGGAUGGAUUACUGUACCUCCAAACUUCCAGGGCUUAAGGUCUGCACCUCACCGCUCCUGAAAAUGUAACUGGAGGGAUGCAAUGAAUAAUUCUCUUGUGAUGUCUAUGCUUUUCGUUGGAUUGGAUUCAAGCAACAAGAUGCUGGAGCUUACCCCAGAAGAGAAGCGAUUCAUCCCUUUGUUGCCCAGGAGCACGAGAUCGGAAAAAGUGAUUAAAUGGUAUUAUUCUCAGUGGAGAACAAGGAAGAAUUUGUUUUUGGCAAAAGAAUGACAAAUAAAUUAUAAUUUCAAGUCUCAUUUAGAGAUGCCAUGAUUGAUAUCCUGGGUUCUCAAAACGGUGUUUAGCCGCGUUUCCAAAAUGGAAACAUUUGUUGGAAAGAAGGCUGUGAGUCGUUGCUCUUCGGUUUACCUUAACGCAACAGAAUUAUUUUACACUGAAAGACAAAAUUUCAAGCAAACUCGAUGCAUCAUCCACUCCGCGAUAAAUGCAACCACAUGAGAAUGAACAAGAAGGCAUUCUGAGAGAAAUCACGAAACGCAACACGAGAGGUGAUUUUCCAGUAACUUUUUAACAGAUUUGCCAGUGUGUGAAAGAGUUUUUGUUAUCGUACGGAGGAUCUCAGAUAUGGUUGUAAACAGUCACUGUCGCCUGGAAUGUGGAUACAUAAAAGGACCAUUUGCAUUAGCAUUUAAGGGAAUGCAGUCAUGGUAUUUGGCACAACUCUGUUACUUCUAGCAAAGCACUACGCUUUCAGAGAUGGGGGGGGGGUUGGUGGGGGACAGAAUGAGGAGGAUAGAAGAGAGGAAUGAGACAUACAAACUGAAAGUCUCCAAACAUGACAUUACAAUUACGAAUCGAUAAAGGUCCAAGUGCAGAACAAAUCCAUUAUUGACAAUCUUUGGGAAAUUUGUAGAAUUAUUACAUUUACAAGGUCAAAUACAGGAUGUGUAAACAGACGUCAAAAACAAGGUUUCUUAAAAUAAACUUGAAAGUCUUUAUUUCAAAAAGAGGUUUAAGCUUCCUAAGCCGAAGGCCACUGUUCAUAACUUAAUAUGUAGGCUACAUUGAAAACUACAGUAUGAGCAAAAUUGUAAAAUACAUAAUUAAAAAGGAUUGUUCACCCAAAAAGGAUUUUUUUUUCAUUAUUUACUCACCUGACUGUCAUUUCAAACCUGUAUGACUUUCUUUCUU